rnacentral:rRNA from 2 species
GAUACGGCCCAGACUCCUACGGGAGGCAGCAGUGGGGAAUAUUGCACAAUGGGCGCAAGCCUGAUGCAGCGACGCCGCGUGGGGGAUGACGGCCUUCGGGUUGUAAACCUCUUUCACCAUCGACGAAGGUCCGGGUUUUCUCGGAUUGACGGUAGGUGGAGAAGAAGCACCGGCCAACUACGUGCCAGCAGCCGCGGUAAUACGUAGGGUGCGAGCGUUGUCCGGAAUUACUGGGCGUAAAGAGCUCGUAGGUGGUUUGUCGCGUUGUUCGUGAAAUCUCACGGCUUAACUGUGAGCGUGCGGGCGAUACGGGCAGACUAGAGUACUGCAGGGGAGACUGGAAUUCCUGGUGUAGCGGUGGAAUGCGCAGAUAUCAGGAGGAACACCGGUGGCGAAGGCGGGUCUCUGGGCAGUAACUGACGCUGAGGAGCGAAAGCGUGGGGAGCGAACAGGAUUAGAUACCCUGGUAGUCCACGCCGUAAA